ACACGUGGAUAACCUACCUAUAAGACUGGGAUAACUUCGGGAAACCGGAGCUAAUACCGGAUAAUAUAUUGAACCGCAUGGUUCAAUAGUGAAAGACGGUUUUGCUGUCACUUAUAGAUGGAUCCGCGCCGCAUUAGCUAGUUGGUAAGGUAACGGCUUACCAAGGCAACGAUGCGUAGCCGACCUGAGAGGGUGAUCGGCCACACUGGAACUGAGACACGGUCCAGACUCCUACGGGAGGCAGCAGUAGGGAAUCUUCCGCAAUGGGCGAAAGCCUGACGGAGCAACGCCGCGUGAGUGAUGAAGGUCUUCGGAUCGUAAAACUCUGUUAUUAGGGAAGAACAAAUGUGUAAGUAACUAUGCACGUCUUGACGGUACCUAAUCAGAAAGCCACGGCUAACUACGUGCCAGCAGCCGCGGUAAUACGUAGGUGGCAAGCGUUAUCCGGAAUUAUUGGGCGUAAAGCGCGCGUAGGCGGUUUUUUAAGUCUGAUGUGAAAGCCCACGGCUCAACCGUGGAGGGUCAUUGGAAACUGGAAAACUUGAGUGCAGAAGAGGAAAGUGGAAUUCCAUGUGUAGCGGUGAAAUGCGCAGAGAUAUGGAGGAACACCAGUGGCGAAGGCGACUUUCUGGUCUGUAACUGACGCUGAUGUGCGAAAGCGUGGGGAUCAAACAGGAUUAGAUACCCUGGUAGUCC
rnacentral:rRNA from 1 species